AAAAGCGCAUUGCAGAUAAUUAUCAAUUUCAAAGUUAAGGCGGUCUGAAUCGAUCUAAAGAAAGAAACCCUUUUCACAUUAGAUUGGAUAGGGAGGGCGUGUUUUUGGUGCGGUUCGUCCGCAUCAAGAUUUCGUUGUAGGUAUUUUAUUUUAUAAAUAAAUGCAUGUGUGUACCAAAAGCGCAUUGCACAUAAUUAUCAAUUUCAAUGUUAAGACGGUUUGAAUCUACAGAAAGAAACCUUCUUUACAUUAGAUUGGAUAGGCAGGGCACGUCGUUGGUGCGGUUCGUCCGCACCAAGAACUCGUUGUGGAUAUUUUAUUUUAUAAAUAAAUGCAUGUGUGUACCAAAAGCGUAUUGCAGAUAAUUAUCAAUUUCAAAGUGAAGGUGGUUUGAAUCUACGAAAGAAACCCUCUUCACAUUAGAUUGGAUAGGUACGCACCAAGAACUUGUUGUGGAAAUCGUCGUUCUGGCCGUUCAUAUGUAUCGUCCAGUCCCUUAUCGGUCGUUCACGCGCCAUCCAUCCCCUACAAACGCGAUGGCAUGGGUUCCGGUUCUAGUCCUGCGAUUCCGGGAUUCCAGUUCCAGGAGCUGGCGUGGUUCCAGGUCAAAAGUAGCCACGCCAGACAUCUGUAGGAUUUGAAAUCCGACGAAUCCGUGCAGCCAGUUUCAGUUGCGGACAACCGCACCUGAAGCUGGUUGUGGAUAGGUAUAGUAUUU
rnacentral:lncRNA from 1 species